GUGGUCCCACCUGAUCCCAUUCCGAACUCAGAAGUGAAACACAGUAUCGCCGAUGGUAGUGUGGGGUUUCCCCAUGUGAGAGUAGGUCAUU
rnacentral:rRNA from 1 species